AGAGUUUGAUCCUGGCUCAGAUUGAACGCUGGCGGUAUGCUUAACACAUGCAAGUCGAACGGCAGCACAGUGUGUAGCAAUACAUAUGGGUGGCGAGUGGCGGACGGGUGAGUAACGCGUAGGAAUCUGCCUUGAAGCGGGGGACAACCCGAGGAAACUCGGGCUAAUACCGCAUAAUCUCGCGAGAGAAAAGCUGGGGCAACCUGGCACUUCAAGAGGAGCCUGCGUCCGAUUAGCUAGUUGGUGAGGUAAAGGCUCACCAAGGCGAUGAUCGGUAACUGGUCUGAGAGGAUGACCAGUCACACUGGGACUGAGACACGGCCCAGACUCCUACGGGAGGCAGCAGUGGGGAAUAUUGGACAAUGGGGGCAACCCUGAUCCAGCAAUACCGCGUGUGUGAAGAAGGCCUUCGGGUUGUAAAGCACUUUAGUUGGGGAGGAAGCUGCGUAUUUUAAGAGAUAACGUAGUUGACUGUACCCAAAGAAUAAGCACCGGCUAACUCUGUGCCAGCAGCCGCGGUAAUACAGAGGGUGCGAGCGUUAAUCGGAAUUACUGGGCGUAAAGGGCGCGUAGGCGGGUAAUUAAGUUAGAUGUGAAAUCCCUGGGCUUAACCUAGGAACUGCAUCUAAUACUGGUUAUCUAGAGUGCAGUAGAGGAUAGUGGAAUUUCCGGUGUAGCGGUGAAAUGCGUAGAUAUCGGAAGGAACACCAGUGGCGAAGGCGGCUAUCUGGACUGACACUGACGCUGAGGCGCGAAAGCGUGGGGAUCAAACAGGAUUAGAUACCCUGGUAGUCG
rnacentral:rRNA from 1 species